ACGUUGUCAAAUUUUCAAAUGAUUCAGUAAACGAGUACAAAGAUAAAUAAUUAAUACGAAGUAAAUGAAUUAACCAGUUUUAAUAAUUGAAUUACACAUAAUGAAAUUGUAAUAACAUAACCAAACAAAAUAAUAACUCAAAUUAAUCGUAUUUAAGCCAAGUGAAAUUUUAAAUGGAAAUUAAAAUAAAAAAGAAAAACGGAUAAUAAUGAAAUUGAAAAUUAUUACUUAGCUUAUCUUGUAGAUUACUGAAGUUCUUGGAUAAGGAAACUUGUAUUGGUAACAAUGAUUCUUGAUUGGAUUGGAAUAAUUCUUCGGAAUGGUAUACUGGAUUAAUUGGAUCAGGAACGAGUUAACUUUCUUGUUUAUUAUUAAAGAUUUUAACGUCCAGCUUCAAAAAUAUAUUCAAAUAUUUAAUGUACGGAUUUUCGUCCAAUUCUUCAUCAAAACUCUCAUGGAUUGGAUGGUUUUCCUUCUUGACAUGCUAAGAUUAUCGUUUUCAAUGGUUUCAACCCGAUAAACAUGAAUUACAAUAAGAAAUUAAUGAAUAAUGAAAUUUGAGGUUAGGUUACUGUCAAAAUGCUAUAAAAUUACUUCAUAUCGACUUUACAUGGAUUAAGUACAAUAAAAAACGUAAACGAUCAACAAUUCUUAGGCCAAACAGGUCUAUUUCUUAUUGUUUUAAAAUAAAGCUAAAAAUAAACUUUU